rnacentral:rRNA from 2 species
UUAGCGACUAAGCGUACACGGUGGAUGCCCUGGCAGUCAGAGGCGAUGAAGGACGUGCUAAUCUGCGAAAAGCGCCGGCGAGKUGAUAUGAACCUUUGACCCGGCGAUGUCCGAAUGGGGAAACCCAGUGCAAUUCGUUGCACUAUCGUUAACUGAAUACAUAGGUUAACGAGGCGAACCGGGGGAACUGAAACAUCUAAGUACCCCGAGGAAAAGAAAUCAACCGAGAUUCCCCCAGUAGCGGCGAGCGAACGGGGAGCAGCCCGGAGUCUGAAUCAGCUUGUGUGUUAGUGGAACGGUCUGGAAAGUCCGACGGUACAGGGUGAUAGUCCCGUAYACGAAAGCACACAGGUUGUGAACUCGAAGAGUAGGGCGGGACACGUGGUAUCCUGUCUGAAUAUGGGGGGACCAUCCUCCAAGGCUAAAUACUCCUGACUGACCGAUAGUGAACCAGUACCGUGAGGGAAAGGCGAAAAGAACCCCGGCGAGGGGAGUGAAAAAGAACCUGAAACCGUGUACGUACAAGCAGUGGGAGCCUCUUUAUGGGGUGACUGCGUACCUUUUGUAUAAUGGGUCAGCGACUUAUAUUCUGUAGCAAGGUUAACCGUAUAGGGGAGCCGAAGGGAAACCGAGUCUUAACUGGGCGUUAAGUUGCAGGGUAUAGACCCGAAACCCGGUGAUCUAGCCAUGGGCAGGUUGAAGGUUGGGUAACACUAACUGGAGGACCGAACCGACUAAUGUUGAAAAAUUAGCGGAUGACCUGUGGCUGGGGGUGAAAGGCCAAUCAAACCGGGAGAUAGCUGGUUCUCCCCGAAAGCUAUUUAGGUAGCGCCUCGUGAACUCAUCUUCGGGGGUAGAGCACUGUUUCGGCUAGGGGGCCAUCCCGGCUUACCAACCCGAUGCAAACUGCGAA